GCGUCGUCGACUACUUGACCAGGGCCGCGCAAGCAGAUCGUUGACUGAGAUUUCCCCUCGCCUCCAAUCCUGUGCCCGGCCCCAGUUCAGCGACCUACCGCCGGAGCUCCACCGCUGGUCGCGAGCUCCUCCGUUCAGCACUCCGCCGGAUCCAUGGUGAUGGUCGGCAGCGCAGCUGAUCAUGCCGCUCGACAGGCCGAGCCCUGCCAGAGAGGUCUCCGGCCUCGUGAAGCUCUGGUCGCCGCACCACUCUAGUGACAGCAGCCUCUCCCUCGGCGGCUUCAUCUCGACGGUAACGUCGCGUUGAUUCUCCCGCGACGCGCCACUGAACAGCAGGUCUAGGUGCUCGCCCAGGUCGGCGGCGUACUGGAGUGUGUUCAAAAGUAGGAGCGUACCGGAUGUACUCAGUGGCAGGGUAACAAAUUCCAGGGGAUAGGAGCACAGGAGCAGAUGGUGUUGGAUGCGACACAAGUGGUGCUUCUACUGAAGAUUGUAUUAGUUCUGCUACAAGCGUUGUGCUCUGUGUGAAGAAGUGAACUGAUGGCUAUUUCAUCAAAGCAGUGUGUGGUGUUAGCUAAUGUACGGGUUGAAUGGAUGUAAAUACUGAGCUUGUUUGGCUAUUUGAUCAAAGCAGUGUUGUUUGUGAAA